CGAGUGACAGGAAGAGAGGCA
rnacentral:miRNA from 1 species